rnacentral:rRNA from 1 species
UACGGAGGGUGCAAGCGUUAUCCGGAUUCACUGGGGUUAAAGGGUGCGUAGGAGGGCAGGUAAGUCAGUUGUGAAAUCCCCGAGCUUAACUUGGGAACUGCCGUUGAUACUAUCUGUCUUGAAUAUUGUGGAGGUGAGCGGAAUAUGUCAUGUAGCGGUGAAAUGCUUAGAUAUGACAUAGAACACCAAUUGCGAAGGCAGCUCGCUACACAAAUAUUGACUCUGAGGCACGAAAGCGUGGGGAUCAAACAGG